GACGAACGCUGGCGGCGUGCCUAAUACAUGCAAGUCGAACGAGAGCAACCGGUGCUUGCUCUGGUCAAUCUAGUGGCGAACGGGUGAGUAACACGUGGGUAACCUGCCCAUCAGAGGGGGAUAACAUCCGGAAACGGAUGCUAAAACCGCAUAGGUCUUCGAACCGCAUGGUUUGAAGAGGAAAAGAGGCGCACGCUUCUGCUGAUGGAUGGACCCGCGGUGCAUUAGCUAGUUGGUGAGGUAACGGCUCACCAAGGCCGUGAUGCAUAGCCGACCUGAGAGGGUGAUCGGCCACAUUGGGACUGAGACACGGCCCAAACUCCUACGGGAGGCAGCAGUAGGGAAUCUGCCGCAAUGGACGCAAGUCUGACGGAGCAGCGCCGCGUGAGUGAAGAAGGUUUUCGGAUCGUAAAACUCUGUUGUUAGAGAAGAACAAGUGCUAGAGUAACUGUUAGCGCCUUGACGGUAUCUAACCAGAAAGCCACGGCUAACUACGUG
rnacentral:rRNA from 1 species